rnacentral:rRNA from 1 species
UACAGGGGGUGCAAACGUUGCUCGGAAUCAUUGGGCGUAAAGCGCACGUAGGCGGUCUGUUAUGUCGGAUGUGAAAGCCCUCGGCUCAACUGAGGAAGUGCAUCCGAAACUGGCAGGCUAGAGUACUAAAGAGGGUCGCGGAAUUCCCGGUGUAGAGGUGAAAUUCGUAGAUAUCGGGAGGAACACCGGUGGCGAAGGCGGCGACCUGGGUAGAUACUGACGCUGAGGUGCGAAAGCGUGGGGAGCAAGCAGG